rnacentral:rRNA from 1 species
UACAUGGGGUGCAAACGUUGCUCGGAAUUAUUGGGCGUAAAGCGCACGUAGGCGGUUCGUUAAGUCGGAUGUGAAAGCCCUCGGCUCAACUGAGGAAGUGCACCCGAAACUGGCGAGCUUGAGUACGAAAGAGGAUCGCGGAAUUCCCGGUGUAGAGGUGAAAUUCGUAGAUAUCGGGAGGAACACCUGCGGUGUAGACGGCUUACUGGACCAUAACUGACGCUGAGGCACGAAAGCGUGGGUAGCAAACAGG